rnacentral:lncRNA from 14 species
UAAUCCUUUGAGCUUUAAUAUGAAGACAAAGUGCUGUACCUGACAGAUUCUUUAUCUGUAUAAUUUGUGUGAGACUGUUGUGCUAAUUGCUGCAAGAAGAACCAUUCUGUGAUAGGAGGUACUAGCACAGAACAAUAAGAGCCUGUAGGCAGUAACUUUUGCUGAUGAGCAUCUUAGAUGAAGGACUCCCUGAUGCUCAGAUGUCAGUGUGGGAAAUAGAAGUUUAACUAAGACCUCUUUCAAGAGCAGAAAAGUAGUUUAUCUCUUAGAAUAAAAACUAAUGCUUCAUGAAAGUGGAAAAGAAAGCAGAAUAAGCUUACUAUAGAGUAAACUUGAAUCAAGAGUAUACAUAAUGUAAGAAGAUUUCACUGUGGACAUAUAAGUUCCAUUCAACAAUUGCUCUGGCAAAGAAGCAAAGGAUUAAAACACAAGACCCAUUUCUGUAUAGCACUGAAUCCGUCUGCAAUGAGAAGGACUUUUGCAUCCUGUUAGCUCUAAGCACUGCACAGUUUGUGUUGUGUCUGGUAGCCUUUUUCCAAGAGAGCUUGUCAAAAGAGUACAGUGUCAGCUAUCAGCUUUAAAGCAUCUACAGCACAGGCUUACAACACAGGAGCUGCAGUAUGCAAAGGAACAGCAUCCAUCAAAGAUAUCUUCUCAAAUUGUCUGCUCUGGCUUAAAGGAUGAAGAAGCUCCAAGCAGAUGUGGGGAAAAGACGGAAUUACCAUCCACUGAGGUACUGUGCAGUUUUAUUAUCAGUGUAAUUUGCCUUCAGCUGGAAUUUUCAGUUGCAUUUGUUCAGCAGUCACCUCCUGGAAGACUUAAAAAUAUAUGCUUUUUUUUCCCAAAUUAUGCAUUGUUUCUGGAGAAAAUCAUAUUUGUUGACACUGAACUUGGGUUUCUCAAUCACUUUCAUGAUG